GACGAACGCUGGUGGCGUGCUUAACACAUGCAAGUCGAACGGUGAACCUCUUCGGAGGGGAUCAGUGGCGAACGGGUGAGUAACACGUGGGCAACCUGCCCCCGGCUCUGGGAUAACUCCAAGAAAUUGGGGCUAAUACCGGAUGUUCACCGCUUCCCGCAUGGGUGGUGGUGGAAAGGGUUUCCGGCUGGGGAUGGGCCCGCGGCCUAUCAGCUUGUUGGUGGGGUAGUGGCCUACCAAGGCGACGACGGGUAGCCGGCCUGAGAGGGUGACCGGCCACACUGGGACUGAGACACGGCCCAGACUCCUACGGGAGGCAGCAGUGGGGAAUAUUGCGCAAUGGGCGGAAGCCUGACGCAGCGACGCCGCGUGGGGGAUGACGGCCUUCGGGUUGUAAACCCCUUUUAGCAGGGACGAAGCGCAAGUGACGGUACCUGCAGAAGAAGCACCGGCCAACUACGUG
rnacentral:rRNA from 1 species